GCCGCCGACCUCGCCACUGACGGGGAGACAGCUACGGCAACUAACUUAGAACCGGGAACUUGGUAUGAAAUUCGAGUGAGCGCGUUUUCGGAGGCCGGAGAAACAACCGCUGUCUACAUAGCGGCGACUCUCACACCAAAUGGAGAACGGAUCGGAUCUCCGAGCGAGGUGUCGAUACGUGCGGGCGGAGCGGGCGGCGCGGCGGGCGGCGCGGCGGUGGGAGCGGGGCGCGGGG